rnacentral:ncRNA from 1 species
CAGAGUAAGGCCAGCGCGUCAAGUGCCGCCGGAUGGGAUGUUGCCGACGGACGAAGAGACAUUGAUAUCGGAUAUGUCUCGCGGUGCUGUGUCUGCGUCCGCUGC